rnacentral:rRNA from 1 species
AGAGUUUGAUCCUGGCUCAGAUUGAACGCUGGCGGCGUGCCUAACACAUGCAAGUCGAGCGGUAACAGGUGUAGCAAUACAUGCUGACGAGCGGCGAACGGGUGAGUAAUGCUUUGGAAUCUCCCCAGUAGUGGGGAAUAACCAGUCGAAAGAUUGGCUAAUACCGCAUACGUCUGUAAAGGGAAAGCGGGGGCUCGUAAGACCUCGCGCUAUUGGAUGAGCCAAAGUCGGAUUAGCUAGUUGGUGGGGUAAUGGCCUACCAAGGCGACAAUCCGUAGCUGGUCUGAGAGGACGACCAGCCACACCGGAACUGAGACACGGUCCGGACUCCUACGGGAGGCAGCAGUGGGGAAUAUUGGACAAUGGGGGAAACCCUGAUCCAGC